rnacentral:sRNA from 1 species
CGAAUGAAUAGAGCGCCACUUGUCAGAUUUUUAGAGUACAAGUUUGAGGAAACCUUACUUUAUUAUAUAAGAUUAUAGUUUCCAUUGUUCUUUUGUAUUUCUAAGAUGUUGGUCCGCACAGUUUGUACCCAACUGUAUUACAUUAACAAUGUAAACAAUAUUUCUAGGAACUAAUUGAGCUCAUUAAUAAGUUGAUAUUUUUUAUUAAAUAUUGAUCCUU